UUAUUACGUUGGGGUAAAUCUGGAACUCCAUGAGACAAACUCGGUCCCAGUCCAGGUUACAGAGACGCGCUGACUCCAGGGAGGAGAGAACGGCGUCUACACCGCUGGUUUCUCCGCCUCAGCCACGGGCACCGGUGAAGACCUGAGACCACCCCCCUGCCCUCAAGGACACAGGCGAAAGGAGGCCACACACCUCGGGGCCGCCGCCAAACUGCGUCCCAUUCCCCCUGGUUUACGGGGUGAAAAAAACGCAGAGCGCGCCAACAGGAGAGAAAGUAGCCUGAUUUUUGUUCCUGAGGCCCUGACUCUGAACGGGAGAUUCCAAGAGGGGAAGGUAACCAGGCUGGACUAGAACACGCUGGGAUCACAGCUGUCUCCUGGGAGAUUCAGAAAAUUAUAUUUUGAUGGCUUUGGAUGUCCUUCCCAGUUGCUUGGGUGGACUCGCCUGAGGGAGCAAGUCGACCUUGCUGAAGAAGCGUACAUCAUGGCUGCUCAAAACCAAGCUCAUGUUCUCCUGGCCCCCAGAAUGAUUCUCAAAGGGCCAAGAACUUCAUUUCAUCGAGUCUUCAUUUUGUUUUUUGGUGUUCUGAGCUUGUGCCUUUGUUUGUGUUCCUAGUUCUUGGCCAAGUAUGGUUCUGGCUCUGUGCUGUGCUCAGCAGAGAAUUAAUCCCCGUUGGUGGCAGCAGCGAUUGAGAACCAUGGUCUGACUGUUUAAUGAUGCUUGUCAGCUGGAUAGUGGGGAAAAGUUAUCCUUUAUGUUUGAGUUUGCAAUUUACUGUUUGGUUUGAGCCCAGGCACUGCGAAGUUCCAUGUCCACCUGCGGAUUUCUGUCCAGUAGAACACAUGACUUUUGUAUCAUAGAAAUCUUAUUCUAACAUUGUUUGAUUUCUAAAAUAAAUUUUCUGGAGCUGGCCCUGAUGCCCUAGUGGUUAACUUUUGGUGUUCUCACCACUUUGGUGGCCUGGGUUAGUUUCCCAGUCGUGGAACCACACCAUCUGUCUGUCAGUAGUCAUGCUGUGGUGGCAGCUCACAUAGAAGAACUAGGACUUCAGCUAAGAUAUACAUCCAUGCAGUGGAGCUUUAGGGAGGAAAAAAAAUAGGAAGAUUGGCAACAGAUGUUAGCUCUGGGUGAAUCUCCCCUGGAAAACAAAAAAGAUAAAAAUUAAUUUUCUGAUGGCCUAUAUAAAAACUAUCACUCUAAGAACUAGCUUUACUGUCUGAUUUCUUCAUCAAUG
rnacentral:lncRNA from 1 species